AGCAGCCGCGGUAAUUCCAGCUCCAAUAGCGUAUAUUAAAGUUGUUGCAGUUAAAAAGCUCGUAGUUGAAUUUCGGGGUCAGUAGGUUGGUCAUGCCACUGGUAUGUACUGGUCUCACUGAUUCCUCCUUCCUGAUGAACUGUAAUGCCAUUAAUUUGGUGUUGCAGGGAAUCUGGACUGUUACUUUGAAAAAUUAGAGUGUUUAAAGCAGGCUAACGCCUGAAUACAUUAGCAUGGAAUAAUGAAAUAGGACGUUCGAUCCUAUUUUGUUGGUUUCUAGGAUUGACGUAAUGAUUAAUAGGGAUAGUUGGGGGCAUUAGUAUUCAAUUGUCAGAGGUGAAAUUCUUGGAUUUAUUGAAGACUAACUACUGCGAAAGCAUUUGCCAAGGAUGUUUUCAUUAAUCAAGAACGAAAGUUAGGGGAUCGAAGACGAUCAGAUACCGUCGUAGUCUUAACCAUAAACUAAUGCCGACUAGGGAUCGGAUGAUGUUAAUUUUUAAAUGACUCAUUCC
rnacentral:rRNA from 1 species